AUUGAACGCUGGCGGCAGGCCUAACACAUGCAAGUCGAACGAGUGGCGGACGGGUGAGUAAUGUCUGGGAAACUGCCCGAUGGAGGGGGCUACCUACUGGAAACAGUAGCUAAUACCGCAUCCCAUCGGAUGUCUCCAGCUGGGAAUAGCUAGUAGGUGGGGUAACGGCUCACCUAGGCUGAGAUCCCUAGAUGGUCUGAGAGGAUGAACAACCACACUGGAACUGGGACACGGUCCAGAAUCCUACGGGAGGCAGCAGGGGGGAAUAUUGCACAAUGGGCGCAAGGCUGAAGCAGCCAUGCCGCGUGUAUGAAGAAGGCCUUCGGGUUGUAAAGUACUUUCAGCGAGGAGGCGUUACUCGCAGAAGAAGCACCGGCUAACUCCGUGCCAGCCGCCGCGGUAAUAC
rnacentral:rRNA from 1 species